GACGAACGCUGGCGGCGUGCCUAAUACAUGCAAGUAGAACGCAGUUGCGAACGGGUGAGUAACGCGUAGGUAACCUGCCUCAUAGCGGGGGAUAACUAUUGGAAACGAUAGCUAAUACCGCAUACUGUGAGAUGGACCUGCGUUGUAUUAGCUAGUUGGUGAGGUAAAGGCUCACCAAGGCGACGAUACAUAGCCGAACUGAGAGGUUGAUCGGCCACGCUGAGACGGAGACACGGCCUAGACUCGUACGAGAGGCAGUGGUAGGGACUCUGCGGGAAUGGACGGGAGUAUGACCGAGCAACGCAGCGUGAGUGAUGAGGGUUUUCGGAUCGUAAGGCUCUGUUGUUAGUGAAGCAGUAACUAACCAGAAAGGGACGGCUAACUAAGGGCGAGUGGCCGCGGUAAUAC
rnacentral:rRNA from 1 species